rnacentral:sRNA from 1 species
ACACUGCUGCUGCUGCAGCGGCCGCUGCUGCCGCCGCCGCUGCCACGGCCACCGCAGACUGAUCGGUGACUCCCUGCUGCUGCUGUUGUUGCUGCUGCUGCUGCAGUUGCUGCUGGUU